UACGUAGGGGGCAAGCGUUGUCCGGAUUUAUUGGGCGUAAAGAGCGUGUAGGCGGCCAGGUAGGUCCGUUGUGAAAACUAGAGGCUCAACCUCUAGACGUCGAUGGAAACCAUCUGGCUAGAGUCCGGAAGAGGAGAGUGGAAUUCCUGGUGUAGCGGUGAAAUGCGCAGAUAUCAGGAGGAACACCGGUGGCGAAGGCGGCAUCCUGGACCAACACUGACGCUGAGUGAGCGAAAGCCAGGGGAGCAAACGGG
rnacentral:rRNA from 1 species